rnacentral:rRNA from 1 species
AUUGAACGCUGGCGGCAGGCCUAACACAUGCAAGUCGAACGAGUGGCGGACGGGCGAGUAAUGGCUGGGAAACUGCCUGACGGAGGGGGAUAAGUACUGGAAACGGUAGCUAAUACCGCAUACCGUCCGUUCGGCUCAGGUGGGAUUAGCUAGUUGGUGGGGUAACGGCUCACCAAGGCGACGAUCCCUAGCUGGUCUGAGAGGAUGAUCCGCCACACUGGAACUGAGACACGGUCCAGACUCCUACGGGAGGCAGCAGUGGGGAAUAUUGCGCAAUGGGCGCAAGCCUGAUGCAGCAAUGCCGCGUGUAUGAAGAAGGCCUUCGGGUUGUAAAGCACUUUCAGCGGGGAGGCGUUACCCGAAGAGGAAGCACCGGCUAACUCCGUGCCAGCAGCCGCGGUAAUUC